GGGGAAGAGACGAGCGCGACGUUGUUGUGAAGUUGCUGAUUGCAGAUGGCUCUGUGUGUUGCAGCUCUAACAGAGAGCCUCUGUUUUAAGGCUGUUGUGUCGCUCCGCUUUGUAGCCUGAGUUCCAGUCUGUUUUUGUGCUGUCAUCAACUCCUUGUCACGAACUCAAUGUCACAUUUGUCUCGUCCACGACAGCGAUGUAGUUGGCAUGGUAGCACAAACAGAUCUGGGACCAGGCUAUCUAUUUUGUGAGUAGAAUUUGUACAUUUUUCCCCCCCUUGGUUGCUGAAGGAGAAUGGUUCUACCUCCUCUUUGGUGUUCAACAUUCCUCUUCCUGCAUCUUGGAGGCUGAAGGAGAAUGGUUCUACCUCCUCUUUGGUGUUCAACAUUCCUCUUCCUGCAUCUUGGAGGCUGAAGGAUAUACAAACUGUGUCCUGUUUUUUUUGUUUUCCUUUUCAAUAUUCUUCCCAAUAUUAAGGUUUAUUGUGGAUUUUAAAAAGCAUAAUAAUAACGUCAACAGACUCCGGAUCUCAGACCAGUGAAGUGGUGUGUUUUACUGCUCGUUGUUUAAACAGUUGAUUGUUCAUAACUUUUCAGUCUUAUCUUGUUUUUCCAUCAGACAGCUGUCAAUCAGACAACAGUAAUAAUGACUUGGAGUUGGAUGGUGACCAAGCACUUUGCUGUCUGAAGCACCAGGGACUGUGUACAUAAAGCAGGUCUCAGAAUAGGGCUGCUGGUCUAGGAUCAGGUGCCCUCUCUUAUUCAUUAUAAUCUAAACGGACAAACUGAUCCUAAAUCAGCACUCUUACACUGACAUUCUUUAUGAAUAUGCUUCCAGAAAUCCCAUUGGGGGGGGACUUUAAACCCAACAUCCUACUGUAUUGAAGACAGACUAUGCAUUUUGUUACCAUGACGAUAUAUAUCUCAUGUACAUUUGUAAACAGAGGAAUGUAGAAGGAGUAGAACGGGCCUCCCUAUUCAUGUCAACGGCGUCAUAAUGGGCAGACAGGCAGCCGUUCUAGUUCUAUGUUUAGUAGUGGAAUCCUGAGGCAUGUUGGGAGGGAUCAGAGAGGUGGAAACAGAAAUAGAAUGACUAGAACAGUCUCGGAACCUUUAACCCUGGUCAUUUGACUCGUGGGUCCUCUCACAUUGGCCGCCAGUCCACCCAUCAUGCCGUCAUAAUGGGGAGACCUGUUCUAUGGACCCGGGCCAUGGAUUGUUUUUGUAUCAGCGGAACACGUACAUGUUCUUAAUAAGUGUUCUGAUGACCUCUCUCUCUCUCUGUGAGGUAAUAAUUGACCCAUAAUGGGUUUCUGAUUGGAGAUUGUUUAUGAGAAGCGCUCCUCCUGGACUGGGCCUCUAUAGACCUGUUCUGUUUUGACCACUGAGCAUCAUCUGCUUCAGUCAUGUGUUUUUAUGUUAUUCUUUUGAUCAGGACGGUUUCUGAUUGGG
ensembl:lncRNA